GUCGAGAAUAAUUCACAAUGGACGAAAGUCUGAUGGUGCAACGCCGCGUGGAGGAUGAAGGUCUUCGGAUUGUAAACUCCUGUCAUCGGGGAGUAAGACCUGGCGGUAAAUAGCCGACAGGGUUGAUAGUACCCGAAGAGGAAGGGACGGCUAACUUCGUGCCAGCAGCCGCGGUAAUACGAAGGUCCCAAGCGUUGUUCGGAAUCACUGGGCGUAAAGGGAGCGUAGGCGGCGUGGUAAGUCAGAUGUGAAAUCCCGGGGCUCAACCCCGGAACUGCACCCGAUACUGCCGUGCUAGAGGGUUGGAGAGGUGACUGGAAUUCUCGGUGUAGCAGUGAAAUGCGUGGAUAUCGAGAGGAACACUCGUGGCGAAGGCGAGUCACUGGACAACAUCUGACGCUGAGGCUCGAAGGCCAGGGGAGCAAAAGGGAUUAGAUACCCUUGUAGUCC
rnacentral:rRNA from 1 species